rnacentral:lncRNA from 1 species
CUAGGAUUUAUGACUACUUCCAUUAGCACCAGAGGAGCAAGAGGCAAUAAAGGAAGGCUGGACACUGAGGAAGUGUUUCAAGCUGUGUUGUUCUCCCUGCUGAUUCAGUGGGUGCACCCCCAGCACUGUUCUCCAUGUCCAAAAAAAGAGAUGGCUGUGAUACUAAGAAGACAACUCUCAGAACAGCAUGUCAAAGUGUCUUCCAAUGCAGCAGUGGCGUUGGACAUUUGCACUCUUGGGAAAAACAAUUGAAUGUAAGAACCAAACAAGUGAUGAACAGAAAACAGAAAUGAAAGUUAAUUUUAGGUUUCUUUUCCUGAGCAUCAUGUUGGUAUUUUCCUAUGUUUUCUAUCUUACAUAUAACCAAUAUCUCUUAUAAAACUAAUCUUUUUUCCCCCUUUGAGAUUUUGUAAAAGUAGAAAGUAAAUUCUUGAAGGUUUUGGUGUUUUAUUGUUUUAUUUUCAGGCUCUAUCUUAUGUGAUUCAUCUCAUUUUUGUAGCUUUUUUAUGCCAUGAGUAACAGCACAAGAAAGACAUUAGUAACAAGAAUGCUUACUCAUGGUUUUGGGGCUCCUGAGAGAUUUCUUCUUCAACAUGAGUUGAAUAGCCAAGAGCUAGAAAUAUGAGAACUGUAAACUUAAACUUUU